CAGGACUCUGCCAGGAGCCCAAAAUUACUUUGUGAGGGCACAAGAGUCAUAAGUCAUUUUAAUGUAUUUCCUAACAAAAAUGAGGAGUUUCUGUUAUAAAGAAAAUGUCUGUACUGGAAAAUCCCUUUCUGAGCUUUAGAAGUAGCAUGAUUUUCUCUCUGAAAAAACAAUAAUGCUGUGAUUUAAAAUUCCAUUCUCCUGAUGGAGUGACUACUGUUAUCUGCUUGCUGGGGAAGGCUUCACCACCUUGUCUUAAGCUUGAGUGGGAGAAGAAACAAGGGAAGGCAAACAGUGAACAAAAAAGAACGAAAGACGCAUUUCUGGUCUAAGAAUCCCUGUUCUCUUUUUUCUUGUUAUCUUGAAGAUUUUGUGGUUGCUCAUAAAUAAGCAGAGGUACUAAAUAUUUCACAAAGUAGAUUAAUAUAAUGAAUUCACUGGAAACACCAGGAAAUGUGAAACAGCGAAAAGAUUUCUCUCCUUGCUGUUUUAAUCUGAUAUGUGCUUCCCUGGCAGGUGGCUACAUACUGCCUGGAGCACAUUCCCUUUGAAACCAUCCUGUGGGAGCUUGUGGGUCUUCGUUUAUCAGCUGUUAGACAUAGCCACAGGAGCCAGAAGAAGUGAAAAUAGAACUCCUUCCAAGUCACUGGAAAACCCUCAGGAGUCCUUGAUAACAAAUGGGAAACAGCAGUGCUCGAAAGUGGAUUUCUUUUUACAGGCAAACACUCCGGGAGUCAUUAAAAAUUCCCCCACCCCCACUCCAUCUCUUGCCACCUCCGUCACCCCAUGGAGUCUGCUUCCUCUAUCAUCUUUCUGUGGUGCUGAAUGUAUACGGCCUCUAAACACUCUGGAAUGAAAGUGUUGUGACGGGCACACAGCUGGUCCUGAAAAGGCACAACACUCAGACAAGCAUGUGAGAUUGCAUUCGUCCCUGCUGGGGAGCCCCAAGCUUUAGAGCAUCUGCUGCGUUAGAUGACCUGGGCAAUGCGUGGAAGAAGGCUAGCGCCUUGCUGCCCAGAGUAUGGUCUGUGACAUCACCUGGGAUCUUGUUAGAAAUAUAGAACCUCAGGCCCUGCCUAAGGCUUUUUGAAUCAAACUCUGCAUUUUAGCAAGCUCUUCUGGUGAUUUGUGCAUAUAUCACAAGUAUAGUCAGCAUCUGCUAUUUUUGUCUGCCCUGCAUUUCUUACUUGGGGCCUCCCACCCCUUCUGGAAAGAACUACUCCUUUCUCCCUACAUUCCUGCGAUUCUGAUGGGGCGGCCAAUUACAGGGCCUUAACUUUUUGGCCACAGAGGUGGGCACAUAAUUCAGCUCUGAACAUUCCGGCUACAAUGAUUAGUUCAGGGUAGCGACAGGGGACCCAAGGGGUCAGGCAUUCUUCCCUGUGUUUCUUCACGCUGGGUUCUUCCCCAGGCAUCUACUCCCUCUGGAGUCAUGAACCUGGGAAGAGGUAAAUGUGGAAUUGUCAACGGCUACUUUCCCAGCCAAGUGGAGAUUCCCUGUCUACUAUAUGUGAGAAAGAGAGUAAUGCACGCAAAGAGAAAUAGAGAUAAGGCAUGGAGAUCUGGUGCCCUGUUGCUACCUGUGGUUUGAUUAUAUGAGCUCCUAAAAUGUCCUUUCUCCUUAGCCUAUUUUGAGUUAGGUUUCUGAUCCUUACGAAGGAAGCAAAUAUUUAAAUGACACAGACAGAUGUAAGAAAAGGCAGGUUGCUGUGAGAAGACAAAGCUUUGCAAGUUCAAAUACAAACUUAUAACGCAAGAAAACAAUGGCAAAUUCUGUCAUCUUGUAUUUUCCUCACCUCGAUUCUCCAUCUUUCUUUAUACUGUAUAUAAAAAAUUUCUCAUAAGAUUUUUGAAAUGUU
ensembl:lncRNA